rnacentral:lncRNA from 1 species
AGAGGUCCAAGUUUGAGAUUUUUUCUUUUAUUUAUUUAUUUAAUUAAUUAAUUAAUUAAUUUUUUUUUUGUUUUUUUGUUUUUUUUGAAAAAAUAUUUCGAUUGCCAUGAUGAAAUGCAAAUGCUAAAUGACCUAAAAAUGAAUGCAUGCAUGAGGUGUAAAGCGUAUGCUUCCAGGAAAAAUGAAGGGUAAAUUUUGGGGUAUUACACUUAUUACCCAGUAACCGGUAAUACCUCAUCUCGCUACUUCCCC